GUGGGGAAUCUUGCGCAAUGGGCGAAAGCCUGACGCAGCGACGCCGCGUGGGGGAUGAAGGCCCUCGGGUUGUAAACCCCUUUCGGCAGGGACGAAGCGAUCGUGACGGUACCUGCAGAAGAAGCCUCGGCUAACUACGUGCCAGCAGCCGCGGUAAGACGUAGGAGGCGAGCGUUGUCCGGAUUCAUUGGGCGUAAAGAGCACGCAGGCGGUUUGGCAAGUCGGAUGUGAAAACCCGAAGCUCAACUUCGGGCCUGCAUCCGAAACUGCCCGACUAGAGGUAGGUAGGGGAGAUCGGAAUUCCUGGUGUAGCGGUGAAAUGCGCAGAUAUCAGGAGGAACACCGGUGGCGAAGGCGGAUCUCUGGGCCUUACCUGACGCUCAGGUGCGAAAGCUAGGGGAGCGAACAGGAUUAGAUACCCUAGUAGUCC
rnacentral:rRNA from 1 species